rnacentral:rRNA from 1 species
UACGAAGGGGGCUAGCGUUGCUCGGAAUUACUGGGCGUAAAGCGCACGUAGGCGGAUUGUUAAGUCGGGGGUGAAAUCCUGGAGCUCAACUCCAGAACUGCCUUCGAUACUGGCGAUCUCGAGUUCGGGAGAGGUGAGUGGAACUGCGAGUGUAGAGGUGAAAUUCGUAGAUAUUCGCAAGAACACCAGUGGCGAAGGCGGCUCACUGGCCCGAUACUGACGCUGAGGUGCGACAGCGUGGGGAGCAAACAGG